UGGGGGAUAUUGCACAAUGGGGGAAACCCUGAUGCAGCAACGCCGCGUGAGGGAUGAAGGUUUUCGGAUUGUAAACCUCUGUCUUUGGUGAAGAAAUUUUGACGGUAGCCAUAGAGGAAGCUCCGGCUAACUACGUGCCAGCAGCCGCGGUAAUACGUAGGGAGCAAGCGUUGUCCGGAAUUAUUGGGUGUAAAGGGUGCGUAGGCGGUUAUGUAAGUCAGGCGUGUAAUUUAUGGGCUUAACCUGUAAACAGCGCUUGAAACUGUGUAACUUGAGUGGAGUAGAGGCAAAUGGAAUUUCCAGUGUAGCGGUGAAAUGCGUAGAUAUUGGAAGGAACACCAGUGGCGAAGGCGAUUUGCUGGGCUCUAACUGACGCUGAGGCACGAAAGCAUGGGGAGCAAACA
rnacentral:rRNA from 1 species